CCCUGCAGCUUUUUUGCACGCCAUUCCAACCUCUCCUUCAUGCCAUUUAAUCAAAUGAAACUUCCAACCCUAGAGUUUUGAAAUUCCAAUCACGCUUCCACGCUUCUUUCUCUGUCGUUGCAUAAUCUGAAUAAGAAUAGUUGCAAAACCAUUUCCUUUCAAUCUCUCUUCAUCAAUCGAUUCGUUUGUGAAGACGUAGAAGACGGUUCCGACGAUUUAGAAUGUGUACGUUUAUUUCUUGGGCUACAAAAGUUGCUGAAGCACCUAAUACUGAUAUGGAGUUCUGGAAAUCUUUGUUACCUUUGUUUCAUGAUGUGUGGAUUUUCGGAGGCUAUAAUAUUGUAACCUCCAUUUGGGAGGAUCCCCUUUGAAAGUUACUGGUCUGUCUCCUGCUUCAAUGGCAGGAAGCUAAUUGAAGAUCCUCUUAAAUAUGUUGGGUCGACGAAAAGAUGGAAAAUUAAGAGAAAUUAUGGUGACAUUGGUUUUAAGUACAGAGAUGACCAAACAAUUGCUUAUGUUGCUUCUCGGAUGCCUGCGGUUUUCUCAGCUUGCCAUAGAGUCCUCACUGAGAAAAUGCUACGUGACGGAUCAUCCUCCAAGGGAGGACCAUCACCAUACCACAUAGCCUUAUUGAAGAUAAGUACCCUGACCCUUCACUUGCCUCUGUGUAUGCUCUGUCUCUAGUGCUUCCUAUUAGAACUAUUUUUUUUAGUUCAUGUUUUCUCUACCCAGCGUUGUUUUACCUUCAUUUAGAACCAUUUUUUAGUAAAUUAUGAUGACUUAGUGGAUGAUUUUAAGCCAUUUGACCUAAAAGGUCAAUAUUUACCUUCAUUUAGAUAUGGGUAACAAUGUUGCAGGAAAACACUCAAUCUUUUAAGUCUUUACCUUCAUUACACUGCAGCGGCAGGUACCAAGUCUCUUUUGAGGCAUCAAAAGUACUUCACUUUUUUGGUAUUCUAAUAAUAGGGUUUAUAAUAAAUUAUUUACUUCAACCACUGAUGGAUUUUUUUUAUGAUUUAAUAUUUUAACAGGAGACUAAGGUUUAGAUUGUUGGCAAUAUAGCUUAAGGGACUGGGUUAUUGUGCCAGAUACUAUGCAUGUUUAUUAACAAACCCAUUUACCUAUAUUUUGAAUGGUAGGGGUGUUCAUGGUUUUGUUUAAAACCGUGAAACCGUCCAAACCGGUCAUUGGUUUGGUUUCACGGUUGGUGUUUUUUUCUAAACUUUCGGUUGGUUGGUUUCAAACAUUUGCAAGAAAUGAGCCGUUUGAGAAGGUGGUCUGUUACGGGUUGGUGCCAUUUAUGAUACUUUAUUUGAUCACCGAUUACAAGAUUACAUUUUCUAAAAGUAGUUAUAUAUAUUUAUUUUUAGGCAUCAAGGAGUAUCAACAUAUUUAUUGCGUAAUCUGUUCGGCUCUUUGGUUCAAGCUCAAUACUAUUAUUAAGAUAAAAUGAAUUUGUUUUAUACAAGUAUGUUUAAGUUGAUUUUGAGAAGUUAUACCAUCAAAAAUCAUUUUUUUUCUUUUUCAAACAUGAAUCUUACCAUCGUUGUUUAUCCUAAGGCCAGAAGUUACAUUUUGUUUUUUUAUAUUCCCUCUUACUAUUGUAGCUUGCAAUUUCUUUGAUUCUUUUCAUGUUUCUUCUAAAUUUUAAGUUCUCUAAAAAGUAUCUACAGUAAAUUGAAUUGGAUUUUGUAUUAGGUAGCGACUGGUUGCUUUGGUUUUUGUAGUAUACAUGAGGAUUUUCCUGUCGAAAUCGAGUAUCGAUGUUGUGGUGAUUGCUGCUUCUUGAAAGACGAGACGGAAGAUGAACAUCAGCUUGAAAAGAAGUGUACGGACAAUCGUCACACUUUUUGUACAAGUCCUUUGGAGGAUUUAGUUUCAUUGUUGAGGAGCAUGUAGCAAAGGAUACAUCAACACCUAUUGAUGAUUAUUGAUGAUGGUUAUUCAAGUGGAGGCUGCCACUAUUUGGACAACCCAUCUAAACCAGCGAAUGGUUGCUUAUGACAGAAUGAAAAAAGAGCCUUUCUAUUUUGCAAAGAAGACAGAGCGAUUCUGUGUAAAUCUUGUGACAUUUCAAUUCACGGAGCAAACGAACACACACAGUAUCACAGCCGCUUUCUUCUCGCCGCAGUUAAGCUAUCCGAAUCGUCUUCCUGUUAUAACAGUUCAUCGGAUUAAACUCUCUGCUCUUCGAUAUCUAAUGGAUCUAGCAACAGAUGAAGCUCCAUUGUAUCCAAACAAUGUAACCUUAGAUCCACUGCAAAUUCGACGUCUAUGAACGAUGGUUGUGUGAGCCGAGAAGACGGUGUCAAGUUCAAUCUUUCUGCACCUCUAAAGUCCACAUAAAUCAUACUCCCUGCCACUUCAGGGUCAUAUCCUUCUCAUAUAUGGUAGCAAAUCUAUUUAGUAUGAGUUAUGCACGAAGAUGACCACAUAAUUCUCUAGCAAUACCUAGACUGUGAACCGGCUCAAUAGAUGUCCGAAGAUCUCAACGAGUCAUAGUUUCUUUUAUAUGUAAUGUUUUAAAUUAUGAAAAUAGUUUCCAUUAGCUCUUUUACAAGUGACUUUAUAUUAUUCAAAAUUCAGAAAAAAAAAGUUUACAUGUUU